rnacentral:tmRNA from 1 species
GGGGGCGCACCGGUUUCGACUGGGUUAGCCUGCACGAGACGGCAUGCCGAGGAUGGUACGUUGGCCUCGUAAAUCAUCGAACCAAAAAAUAAAAGCUAACGAAGAGUUGGCCCUCGCAGCCUAAUUGGCUCGACGUUUCGCCCUGAACACCUGCUACAGGAACGGAACGCAUUUAGCAGGUAGGGUCGCCGGCGGAGUUCGCGCGUUGGCGGCCGAGAAACUUCAUGCGAGCUGGGAGUUGGCGAUCCAUGUCAGCCGGUUACGACAACUCCAAGACAAAAAGGCUGACUAAGCAUGUAGUCGUUUCGGGUUGAAUGAUCUAGGACGCGGGUUCAAUUCCCGCCGCCUCCACCA